rnacentral:rRNA from 1 species
GAUGAACGCUGGCGGCGUGCCUAAUACAUGCAAGUCGAGCGAACGGACGAGAAGCUUGCUUCUCUGAUGUUAGCGGCGGACGGGUGAGUAACACGUGGAUAACCUACCUAUAAGACUGGGAUAACUUCGGGAAACCGGAGCUAAUACCGGAUAAUAUUUUGAACCGCAUGAUUCAAAAGUGAAAGACGGUCUUGCUGUCACUUAUAGAUGGAUCCGCGCUGCAUUAGCUAGUUGGUAAGGUAACGGCUUACCAAGGCGACGAUGCAUAGCCGACCUGAGAGGGUGAGCGGCCACACGGGAACUGAGACACGGUCCAGACUCCUACGGGAGGCAGCAGUAGGGAAUCUUCGGCAAUGGGCGCAAGCCUGAUCCAGCAAUACCGCGUGAGUGAAGAAGGUCUUCGGGUCGUAAAGCUCUUUUGUUGGGGAAGAACAGAAGUGUAAGUAACUGUCGACGUCCUGACGGUACCUAAUCAAAAAGCAACGGCUAACUACGUG